CUUCUUCCGAUUUGUUAAUUGUGACAUCAUCAGUUUAUCAUAAGCUUUUUCAAGCCGAGCAGCAGUUGCUUCAUCACCUAUCCUCUCAGCCUCCUUUCGCUUUUUUGUAUACACUGCAUGUCAAACCCCUCAAUGGGGCUCACACCAAGGACCUCAUAUGGAUUUAGAUCACUGUCUGGACUUGAACUUCCAGCUGCAGAUGCGGCAGUACAAAUCACCCUUCUAUUCUCCGGAAAUCUUCUAGAAAAUCUGACGGAUGGAGGAGCUAAUAUUGAACGCGAGCGUUUGAGAUUGCAAUUCCUCUGUGCAAAUUGGCGUUUAGGGCAAUUAAAGACAUUUGAGAUCGCCAAAGCCAUUGCUUUGACUGUUUGCGACUAUGUCGAUUUGAGUUUAGGGUUCUGGCAAGGGUUUUGAUGCAAGGUAG
rnacentral:misc_RNA from 1 species